GGGUUGUGAGGUUAAGCGACUAAGCGUACACGGUGGAUGCCCAGGCAGUCAGAGGCGAUGAAGGGCGUGCUAAUCUGCGAUAAGCGUCGGUAAGGUGAUAUGAACCGCAACAACCGACGAUACCCGAAUGGGGAAACCCAGUGCAAUCCGUUGCACUAUCAUGUCAUGAAUACAUAGUGGCAUGAGGCGAACCGGGGGAACUGAAACAUCUAAGUACCCCGAGGAAAAGAAAUCAACCGAGAUUCCCCCAGUAGCGGCGAGCGAACGGGGAACAGCCCAGAACCUGAAUCAGUUUGUGCCUUAGUGGAAGCGUCUGGAAAGUCGCGCAGUAAAGGGUGACAGCCCCGUACACAAAAAGGCACUUGCUGUGAGUUCGAUGAGUAGGGCGGGACACGUGACAUCCUGUCUGAAUAUGGGGGGACCAUCCUCCAAGGCUAAAUACUCCUGACUGACCGAUAGUGAACCAGUACCGUGAGGGAAAGGCGAAAAGAACCCCGGCGAGGGGAGUGAAACAGAACCUGAAACCGUGUACGUACAAGCAGUGGGAGCACCUUCGUGGUGUGACUGCGUACCUUUUGUAUAAUGGGUCAGCGACUUAUAUUCUGUAGCAAGGUUAACCGUAUAGGGGAGCCGCAGGGAAACCGAGUCUUAACUGGGCGUUAAGUUGCAGGGUAUAGACCCGAAACCCGGUGAUCUAGCCAUGGGCAGGUUGAAGGUUGGGUAACACUAACUGGAGGACCGAACCGACUAAUGUUGAAAAAUUAGCGGAUGACCUGUGGCUGGGGGUGAAAGGCCAAUCAAACCGGGAGAUAGCUGGUUCUCCCCGAAAGCUAUUUAGGUAGCGCCUCGUGAAUUCAUCUCCGGGGGUAGAGCACUGUUUCGGCUAGGGGGCCAUCCCGGCUUACCAACCCGAUGCAAACUGCGAAUACCGGAGAAUGUUAUCACGGGAGACACACGGCGGGUGCUAACGUCCGUCGUGAAGAGGGAAACAACCCAGACCGCCAGCUAAGGUCCCAAAGUCAUGGUUAAGUGGGAAACGAUGUGGGAAGGCACAGACAGCCAGGAUGUUGGCUUAGAAGCAGCCAUCAUUUAAAGAAAGCGUAAUAGCUCACUGGUCGAGUCGGCCUGCGCGGAAGAUGUAACGGGGCUAAACCAUGCACCGAAGCUGCGGCAGCGGACGUAUCACCCAAGCAGAUUCACUGAAGUGGAUAACGAUUGACGGAGCGCAGCGACGUCAAUGCGCCAUCAAAGUCGAGUCGACUUCGGGAUACGUCCGUUGGGUAGGGGAGCGUUCUGUAAGCCGUCGAAGGUGUGCUGUGAGGCAUGCUGGAGGUAUCAGAAGUGCGAAUGCUGACAUAAGUAACGAUAAAGCGGGUGAAAAGCCCGCUCGCCGGAAGACCAAGGGUUCCUGUCCAACGUUAAUCGGGGCAGGGUGAGUCGACCCCUAAGGCGAGGCCGAAAGGCGUAGUCGAUGGGAAACGGGUUAAUAUUCCCGUACUGGGUGUUACUGCGAAGGGGGGACGGAGAAGGCUAUGUUAGCCGGGCGACGGUUGUCCCGGUUUAAGCGUGCAGGCUUGAGUUCCAGGCAAAUCCGGAACUCUUUAAGGCUGAGGCGUGAUGACGAGGCACCACGGUGCUGAAGUAACAAAUGCCCUGCUUCCAGGAAAAGCCUCUAAGCAUCAGGUAACAUCCAAUCGUACCCCAAACCGACACAGGUGGUCAGGUAGAGAAUACCAAGGCGCUUGAGAGAACUCGGGUGAAGGAACUAGGCAAAAUGGUGCCGUAACUUCGGGAGAAGGCACGCUGGCGCGUAGGUGAAGCGACUUGCUCGUGGAGCUGAAGCCAGUCGAAGAUACCAGCUGGCUGCAACUGUUUAUUAAAAACACAGCACUGUGCAAACACGAAAGUGGACGUAUACGGUGUGACGCCUGCCCGGUGCCGGAAGGUUAAUUGAUGGGGUUAUCCGUAAGGAGAAGCUCUUGAUCGAAGCCCCGGUAAACGGCGGCCGUAACUAUAACGGUCCUAAGGUAGCGAAAUUCCUUGUCGGGUAAGUUCCGACCUGCACGAAUGGCGUAAUGAUGGCCAGGCUGUCUCCACCCGAGACUCAGUGAAAUUGAACUCGCUGUGAAGAUGCAGUGUACCCGCGGCAAGACGGAAAGACCCCGUGAACCUUUACUACAGCUUGACACUGAACAUUGAGCCUUGAUGUGUAGGAUAGGUGGGAGGCUUUGAAGCGUGGACGCCAGUCUGCGUGGAGCCAACCUUGAAAUACCACCCUUUAACGUUUGAUGUUCUAACCUGGCGCCGUAAUCCGGCGUGGGGACAGUGUCUGGUGGGUAGUUUGACUGGGGCGGUCUCCUCCCAAAGAGUAACGGAGGAGCACGAAGGUCAGCUAAUCACGGUCGGACAUCGUGAGGUUAGUGCAAUGGCAUAAGCUGGCUUGACUGCGAGAGUGACGGCUCGAGCAGGUGCGAAAGCAGGUCAUAGUGAUCCGGUGGUUCUGAAUGGAAGGGCCAUCGCUCAACGGAUAAAAGGUACUCCGGGGAUAACAGGCUGAUACCGCCCAAGAGUUCAUAUCGACGGCGGUGUUUGGCACCUCGAUGUCGGCUCAUCACAUCCUGGGGCUGAAGUAGGUCCCAAGGGUACGGCUGUUCGCCGUUUAAAGUGGUACGCGAGCUGGGUUUAGAACGUCGUGAGACAGUUCGGUCCCUAUCUGCCGUGGGCGCUGGAAGAUUGAGAGGGGUUGCUCCUAGUACGAGAGGACCGGAGUGAACGCACCGCUGGUGUUCGGGUUGUCAUGCCAAUGGCAUUGCCCGGUAGCUAAGUGCGGAAAAGAUAAGCGCUGAAAGCAUCUAAGCGCGAAACUUGCCUCGAGAUGAAUCUUCCCUGACUCCUUGAGAGUCCUGAAGGGACGUUGAAGACGACGACGUUGAUAGGCCGGGUGUGUAAGCGCAGCGAUGCGUUGAGCUAACCGGUACUAAUGACCCGUGAGGCUUAACCUUACAACGCCAGAAGCGUUCUG
rnacentral:rRNA from 1 species